CCAACCAAAAAAAAAGUGAGGAUUGUGAGAUGAAUUCUGAUUCAACAAUUGUGAAUGUGAAAAGAGAUGCAACAAAGAGGUUUCUCAUUCACAGGGCCCCUCCUAUCUUGACAAUUCAUAUAAAGAGGUUCAGUCCUAGUGUUCGGGUCAUUAUAGUAAAUUGGAUGGCCACAUCAGAUUCAAGGAAACAAUUGAUCUUAAACCAUACAUGAUACUAGGUGUGCAGAUAGGGGCAAGUGUAAUUAUCGGUUCGUCGGAGUCAUGGAGCAAUCUGGAUCUAUAAGAGGAGGCUAUUAUGUUGCAUCCAAGGGAGGCGAGGAACGCCACUUCCUAGGAGUGAGCACAAGAGUGGUGAGAAACACCCAUGAAAGAUCUCCAAGAGGAGUGAGCAUGAGAGAGGCGAGCAAUGCUUGUGGAAGUGCUCCCAGAGGAGUGAGCACGAGAGAGGCAAGCACGAACCAUGUUUGCAUGUGAAUGCAUUUUCUGACACCAAGAACGGGGUCACUUAUUGAGUACCUUUAAAUACUCAAACCAUGUUUAACAUUUUUCCAGGUAAAGGUAAAGCCCCCACAUACAGAUAUGGCGUCAGCCGAGGAAGCCAUGAAUCAAGUCCCGACAGAUUUCCACAUUAAGUUAUAGUCAUUAUGUUAGGAUAAGUCGAUGACAUUUAUUUCUAAUUUGUGAUAAGAGAUGUUUUUUUACUUUUUUAACUAUGUUAUUUUAUUAUUAAAUUUGAAAUAUUUAUAAACAUUGAAGUCCACGACAAUGCUAAAUUUUUUUACAUACAGUAGUCAUGACAUGCAUGUAGUAGUGGCCUU